GUCACUUUUGGUCAAGCAUGCCAUGAUUUCCAUAGUAAAAAACUGCAGCAACUGUAAGAUAAAGAAGAUUGACCUCUCAGCCUCCACUCUUAAUAAGCAAAUAAAAAUACUAUGAUAAACUGUCAGUUUGCAUACUCUGCAAACUAAUACUCAUCUUCUUACUCUUAGAAGAAAAAGUGCAAGAGGAUAAUAAUUCACCAGUUAAAGGAGUGUCUCGCUCCAAUUUAUAGGAGGGAGAGGAGGUUCUUUGAAAUAUGUAUGCCCGGCGUGAGAUUAAGAAACAACGGUUCAAAUGUUGGUCCGACCAGUUUAUUACAAAUGUUAAUAAGGGAGAUGGGGAAAGGAGAGGACGGACGCUAUUAAGGAUUGGGGUGAUGGGGAAGGGAAGGCAAGCGAUAGAAAAGAUAGAAAGAGGCAAGAAUUGCGUAAAGCGGGGAUAGUCACCAGCAGGAUCCAGCAGCAGUCCCGUUGCACGAUGUUCCGACGGUCUGAGGCCAAAGGGCAGGAGCAGCGAGGCCGGUCUUGGGCAACGAGAGGGUGCAGGUCAGGGAGGAAGCAGCAGGUCUCAGGUAGCAGGGCCAGGGAAGUCUGUCAGCAAACGGUCCGUAGAGAAGGAUCUGAAGGCAGAAAGCUCGUGUCGUGGUGAGAGAUCAUGAGAGAUCAGCCUCUGUGUUGCGGUGAGAGAUCAGUCUCCACGUUGUGAUCAGUCUCCACGUUGCGAUGAGAGAUCAGUCUCCACGUUGCGGUGAGAGAUCAGCCUCCACGUUGUGGUGAAGGAUCAGAUGGCAGAGAACCCCUCAAGUCUGUCGUGGUGAGAAGAUAAGCCUCUACCAUCGCCGUGGUUGUUGGACCCUCUUUUAUCCUCCAUUUUCUGCUGCCUACAUGACAUUCCUGGGUGCUUGAGCAAGAGUCCUGUGCAUACCUCCUGAGAUGGCCAUUUUCCUUGAGACAAGUCCCCACAAAAAGACCGUUUCCUGGCCAUUAGCAGCAGCUUCUCUCUCUCUCGUUGCCCCUGGCCU
ensembl:lncRNA